GCAGGAGAGUUGCAAUUUAGUGAGUCCCUGUCUCAAAACAUUAGAAGGGCUAGGAAUGUAGCUCUGUGGAAGUCACCCUUGGGUUUGAUCCCCAGGACUGGAAAAAAAAAUUAGAAGGUGGCAGCAGCACAGACUUGCCUUCUUCAUACAGAUGGGAAACUGAGGGCCAGAGGAAGUGACUUGGGCAAGAUCCAUAAGCAGUAGUAACAGGGAACAGACAGACAUGAGUUGUGGGAACAUGAGGUUAAGGGAAUAGUUUUUAAAAUGGGCCCCAUCAUGGUGGUGCACAGUGAUUUGGAAGACAGAGGCAGGAGGAUCACAAGUUCAAAACCAGCCUCAGCAACUUAGCGAGACCCUGUUUCAAAAUAAAAAGGGCUGGGGCUGGGGCUCAGUGGUUAAGUGCCCCUGGAUUCAGUCUCUGGUUCAGGGUAGAGGGGGGGAAAGGCCAAAUGUGCUGACCUCCAAGUGAUUUCACUUUUAAAAAACAAUUUAGGGGGCUGGGGAUGUGGCUCAAGCGGUAGCAUGCUCGCCUGGCCUGCGUGCGGCCUGGGUUCGAUCCUCAGCACCACAUACAAACAAAGAUGUUGUGUCUGCUAAAAA
rnacentral:lncRNA from 1 species